GUGCGGGGUCAAAAACUAUUUGAGAGAAAAGCGCGCGGAGUCACGCGGACCACGCGGGACAAACAAAAUAGCAGAAGUUACGCGAAGCAGCCUCCACGUGCCAAGAGACCCCACACUCGGCCACUCCCCACGACUUCUUCCAUCUGUAGCCGACCCAGCCGCCGCACUCGUCGCCGUGAACACCGCCGCUUCCCCAUCCCCGCAUCCACACAGCCCCGCCAGGGCUGCUGCUCCAUUCCCCAUCACCACGCCACCGCACCCGCUUCCUCCAUCCACGCCGAUUGAGACAGAGAGAGGGGGGACAGGGUCGUGGAGCGCCGCCACACGCCUGGAUCUGGGUGCUACUGUGCGCAUCCUUGCCCGAUCUGGACGCCUCCGCGCGCGUCCGUGCCCGAUCUGGACGCCUCCGCGCGCGUACAUGCCGCAUCUGGCCGCCACGAUUGAGGAUUGGUGGAGGAGCACGGGAAACGGCUUGGUUGUGGAGCAGGGGAAGGGAGCACGGGGCGGCGCCGUUGUGGCUGGAGCAGGGCUUCACUUCGAGGGUGGCGGACACGGCUGCAUCGUGUAGGUGGUGGAGAAGGACGACCGUGCGCCCCGGCGUCCUUUGUGUGGUGGCAGUCAUGCGCAGUGCCACGUCGAGACUGGAUGAAGCACGGGCGACCGUUGUGUCUAGGAGAUAUGGAAAUUGCAGCACCGUGCAGCUACAGUCCUGCAGCAGGUUGACGGGCGAAUGGUCAUAGUGGGAAGACAACGGGCAUGUCGACUGCUGCGAGUAUUCCAUUCUCGUAGACAACUACAUUUGCAUGAUGAGCAAGAGGUGUGUUGUUUUCCUGGAGAAAAUUUUGAGAAAAUCAUCAAUUUGUUUAGCUUUAUUUAAAUCUGUUUGUUGAUCUGAGAUUUUGUACUGUACUCUUCUGGGAGCAAUAUGUAGCAAACGGUUCGAAAUUAGAAACUUCUUUACAUUUUAAGGAAUAAUCCAUCUUACCCCUUCGAAAAAGUAGAAGGAAACCCUUCGAAAAAGUAGAAGGAAUAAUCCAUUUUAAUAUGUUCCUUUAUAUAUGCGGAGAACUUCUUAGUACUAGUUCGUAUGUCAAGAUGUUAUUAGGAUACUAAAUAAUGGUGCUCUUUCUAAUAAUCAGGCAGACUGUACCAUUGUCUAUUUAUGUGUGCGCAUAUUUUUGGUAGUAUAUUGAACAAUUGUCCUUGAAAAGUUGAAAUAAUUGACAGAUCCACAGAAGUGAAAGCUGCGGCGAUGUCGUUCGUACUCCAUAUCACUUAGAGAGGACACUAGGAGUGGAAUGGCCAUCACUUAUUAUAGUAGUUUUCUGAAAAAAUAACCUCCUUUUAUGGAGUAACUUUAAUUUGGCCAUUGAGAAUUUGAGAAGUAAUUUUCAGGAUAAGAGCAUCUUUUAUCUUGCAUAAAGAUUGCAUCCUUAUCUUUCCUGUUCCUCUUGAACGUGAUUAUGCAACAAUUUAAAACUAUAUUAAAUGUUCUUGCAGAAUAUAAAGUAAAAGUAGUAUUGUCAUGUACUUUGGUUUAACCUUCAGUGUAAUAUUUGAUUUUCGUGUACUGUGUAUGAAAGCUGCAUUUGUACUGACUGAUUAUAAUUUGCUUUGCUUCUCAUCGCGACUGAUAAUUUUCUGAAAUACUCACUCUAUUUUAAUCAAGGUGUUGCAGGUGUUAUCACUGUAGGAGGUAAGGUUUGCAGCCGAAAUAUAUAACUUAUUGCGUCCAGACAAUCGAGAAAUAUAGUACAAUAAAUUUCUUUUUCUCUUUCAUUAACCUGCAGCAGAGGAUUUGGCUAAUAUUUUGCAUCUUAUCUCGAUGACUAGUUGAUCUAAUAUAGAAUAGCCUCUCUGUCUGUAACAUGUACUUGUUUGAGUUGCCAUUCGUAGGGUCUGCUAUCGGUGAUAUAAUAAAAUGACCUAUUUGCUUGUAGUUUCAUGCAAGGUUUUGUGAAGUUCUUUUGAUAAUUUUUCUUGCUAAAUGGAAAGGUUCAUUUUUUUUCAAUGACUGAACAAAAACUUGACCACCGGUACAUGGCCAGCUAGGGACUUUAGAUAGUGCUCACAUGCACUUCUAGUCCUUUACUGUUUGGACUCUACGAUAUUACUCAACUUUCCUAAGCAUGUCUAACAGACCCAGAUUUAUUGUUUAACUAACCUGGAAAGUGAAACACAAACUAAAAGGACUCUGAAUAAGCAUAGCUCAUAGCUCAACUCUAAUUUUUGUUGUGCCAAUCAUGAGAUAUCUGCAUAGAGUUCUCAGGCAGUCUUACUUCCCUUAGCUUUUGGUCAUUCCGAAGUUUCCUUACGACCUUCCUUCCAAUUUCUGAAAUUGUGUGCACUUAGUUUCUUUCUGCAUGAAUCCUCUACAGUACAUGUACAUGUCAAUUGACUUAAUUUCCUCUUCAGGUUGGCAACGUUGCUACAAGGCUGGACAAGUCACCUAGUGAAAUCAUUUGCUUCACCUGUUCCGAAGACCAUACAAGUUUUUUUUUUACUUUAUAUUGUAUUGACCUGAAAGGCUACAAAGUACAUCUGAUAAAUUAGGAUGAACUUUUCAUAUGUAGCUAGUAUGUGGCACAUAUCUUACUACAAAGUAAUAUACAAAUGUGAAGCACAUAUGUUGAAUGUUCUAUUUUUGGGUAUGAAUGGAUUGCAAUGCUGAGUUGAGAUA